UAUCCGCCACCUACGGACGCGCCCGGCGUUU
rnacentral:sRNA from 1 species